rnacentral:misc_RNA from 1 species
UGAAAUUUUCAGGCAUGACUUAUGAGCUGUCCCCAAAUUAACAGACAGAUAUCAGCUAAUAUAUUUUUCAAAGUUGCCUCUUAAUAUUCCUUAUCCAUGGAGAAGACAGAGAGGGGACUACAAAGACACACGGAAAGAAUGAAAAGAGAGCUUGCGGUUAUUUUACAGUUUUAUGAUCAGUUUCUUUCCAUUCAGCAUUGCCUUUCAAUAUAUUUUAUUUGAACCCAGAAAAAAAAAGGAGGCCUGGAUUCA